AUCUUCCGCAAUGGGCGAAAGCCUGACGGAUCAACGCCGUGUGAGUGAUGAAGGGUUUCGGCUCGUAAAACUCUGUUAUUAGGGAAGAACAAAUGUGGAAGUAACUGUGCACAUCUUGACGGUACCUAAUCAGAAAGCAACGGCUAACUAUGUGCCAGCAGCCGCGGUAAUACGUAGGUGGCAAGCGUUAUCCGGAAUUAUUGGGCGUAAAGCGCGGUUAGGCGGUUUCUUAAGUCUGAUGUGAAAGCCCACGGCUCAACCGUGGAGGGUCAUUGGGAACUGGGAAACUUGAGUGCAGAAGAGGAAAGUGGAAUUCCAUGUGUAGCGGUGAAAUGCGCAGAGAUAUGGAGGAACACCAGUGGCGAAGGCGACUUUCUGGUCUGUAACUGACGCUGAUGUGCGAAAGCGUGGGGAUCAAACA
rnacentral:rRNA from 1 species